rnacentral:rRNA from 1 species
GACGAACGCUGGCGGCGUGCUUAACACAUGCAAGUCGAACGGAAAGGCCCUGCUUUUGUGGGGUGCUCGAGUGGCGAACGGGUGAGUAACACGUGAGUAACCUGCCCUUGACUUUGGGAUAACUUCAGGAAACUGGGGCUAAUACCGGAUAGGAGCUCCUGCUUCAUGGUGGGGGUUGGAAAGUUUCGGCGGUUGGGGAUGGACUCGCGGCUUAUCAGCUUGUUGGUGGGGUAGUGGCUUACCAAGGCUUUGACGGGUAGCCGGCCUGAGAGGGUGACCGGCCACAUUGGGACUGAGAUACGGCCCAGACUCCUACGGGAGGCAGCAGUGGGGAAUAUUGCACAAUGGGCGGAAGCCUGAUGCAGAAACGCCGCGUGCGGGAUGACGGCCUUCGGGUUGUAAACCGCUUUCGCCUGUGACGAAGCGUGAGUGACGGUAAUGGGUAAAGAAGCACCGGCUAACUACGUG